GCCAUAUAUGAGCUCACCAGCGUGGUGUCACAUUUGGGCAGAAUGUUUGGUAAAUUGGGCUCAGACAAACAUGGGUGUGGCGCAAGCUGGAUAUAAUCCCAGGAACUAACAGAUCGCUCAUUCCUUCACAGGUCACUACAUCAGUGACAUCAUCGAAGGGUCUGCUGAUGGCUGGCUCUGCCUAAAUGACAGCUAUGCCAGCAGACUGAGUGAACAGGAGAUUCUGCAGAAAAGAGCAAAGAAAUCCUACCUGCUCUUCUACGUGCAAAGGUAGUACUGUUUUUGAGAAGUGCAUGUGAGCUGCAUUUUAAACAAUUAAUAUGUUUUAGUUUUCAUCUUUUCAUUUUCAUUUUCCCAGAGCACCUCAGGAUCCCCCCUGCUGAAGUGAUGACAACCUGCAGCACUGAGGGGACAUUGCUUCGCCGUGCAGAGGCCGAAGAAAAAGAAGAAGAAGAAAAGCAGGAUCGACGCGGAACACCCUGCCCCGGGCCGGGAAUGUUCCUCCCGCUCCACCUGCGGACAUGAGGGCGCGUCGGGCGCCUUCUCUCCACCCGGACCUGCAGCUCCACCCGGAGUGGACGCCACAGAGGAGCCGGCGUGCGAGGACCAGGCAGUCAGGCACAUAUUUUAAUCAGCACGCCAGAGAAUCCCUCCUCCUGAGAUGGUCUUCUCCAAGAGGCCUAAAGCAUCUCAGGAUCCCCCUGCUGAAGAAAUGACAUCUUGCUGCCUUCACCGUAACAUCACGGACCAGGACACCACCAGGACCAUCAUCCUGUGACACCCUGAGGGGGACAAAUGGCUCAGAACUGUUCAGCAUGGAUUUGUUUGUUUUCAGCAUGACUGCUCUUGAUGUGCAUUUCUGCCAUUUUCUCCCCCUGCUGCACUGCUGGUGUUCUACGUGUUGUCCCUGUCUGCCCAGAUCCUAUUGCUUGACUUUGAUUCUGCUUCAUCCCUGCAGAUUCUUCAAAGGGUGUAUAGAACACAACCUGCAGGAGCUGCCCAAGACUACAAACACUAAGUUAUCAUUUCACUGUCUUAGUAGUAAAACUAUUGGUAUAAUUACAGAAAUAUAUUUCUUUUCAGGGACAACAAACCAGACAGGAAGCUGUUGGGGGCUGUUUUUCUUCCAUUUCCAAGGAACAGUCCCACGUAAUGAAGGCACAGGGGUCAAGGGGAUGGGGAGAGACGUUGCUUUGCCUGCCCUAUUGGCCACGACCUGAGGCUUAUGGUCGUGUGUCCCAGCGGGAACCACAAUGAGUUUAAGAAGAGGCCGAAGAAGAAGAAGAGCAAGAUUGACGCGGAGCCCCCUGCCCCGGGCCGGGCAUGUUCCGGGCAUCUUCCUCCCGCUCCACCUGCCUCCUCCAGCGGACAUGAGGGCGCGUUGGGCACCAAAGACUAUCCCAAGUUUCAUGUCAUGAUUGUUUAUUGUAUAUUUGUGUGGUUUUUCUUUAAAAUUUAGACUUUUUAAUAAUGUAUACAUUCUAUACAUUUUGAAUUUUAUGAAUAAAAUGUUAUAAUGUGAAAAUUAUUUACAUUCAAUGUCUUGAUUAUGAGAACAAAUCAGUUGCUUUAUAUUCUUUCUUUAUAUAUAACUUAAACGUUUUCCAUCUGGAGCACUCAGUUCAUCACCUAUCAUCACAGCCUUUAACCAUUUCUGAAAUUAUAAAUCAUAGCAAAUCGCAUCAGAUAUAAGUUUAUAUGUUUACUUAAUAUACGCUUAACAAAAUAUAUGAGGCACAGUUGCACAAAAUGUUAAAUGAACAAUGAAACAGAUAACAGUUCAAUGGCCAAAACACAACUGAAAUAGACCUGGGAAAUAUUCGGAAUGUGACACUGUUGGGACCAUCAUAGUGUUUGAUAUUCUUUGCCACUGCACGUUGAAGAUAUGUUCUGUCAUUUCUCUUUCUGGAUUAGAACACUAGUCAAAUAUUGCUAUUCCCUGUCUAGUCCUUUGUACCAACCCCACCUGGCUCAGAAUAAACUCUUGACAAGGC
ensembl:lncRNA